rnacentral:rRNA from 1 species
AUUAACGAGUUUUGAAAGCGCGGGGAGCCUGUCGCUGAUGCGCGGAGACGCGCAUAUAUGCACGGCUUUCGUGCUCCAUCCACUACUCAACCCCUGUGCACCUUUGCGAAGCUAGUAGUUUCUCCUUUGUCUUCUUUUUUUCCACUCUUACUUUUUCGGCUGUAUAUGGGAGCUUGCCUUGCGAGUUCACUUGGUCGGAGGAGAGGGGGGGGGGAGAAAGUAAAGGGGAGGGGGGGGCGAAACCUUUUAUUUUUUUUCCAACCCCUUGUAUUGUUUUGUGGAAUGUGUAAUGCUCCUCGUGGGCGAAAUUGAAAUACAACUUUCAACAACGGAUCUCUUGGCUCUCGCAUCGAUGAAGAACGCAGCGAAAUGCGAUAAGUAAUGUGAAUUGCAGAAUUCAGUGAAUCAUCGAAUCUUUGAACGCACCUUGCGCCCCUUGGUAUUCCGAGGGGCAUGCCUGUUUGAGUGUCAUGUUAAUCUCAAACCCCCUUGUCUUUUUUGUUGAGGCCUAGGUUCGGUUUGGCCUUGGAGGUUGCUGCUGGCUGCUGCUUAUGGUAGUCGGCUCUUCUGAAAGGCUUUAGCCGGCCUUUGGUUGGCAUUUCCGGGGUAAUGGUAACCUUAUUGUUCCCCGGGUGCUUGCCCUAAGGAUUCGGCUCCUAAUCGCCCCUCGGGGCAAGGUCUCGUUCGUUUGAGACCUUCUUGAACACUUUGACCUCAAAUCAGGUAGGAUUACCCAGUCCCUGAACUUAAGCAUAUCAAUAAGCGGAGG